rnacentral:rRNA from 1 species
UACGUAGGGUGCAAGCGUUGUCCGGAAUUAUUGGGCGUAAAGAGCUCGUAGGCGGUUCGUCGCGUCGGCUGUGAAAACCUGAGGCUCAACCUCAGGCCUGCAGUCGAUACGGGCGGACUUGAGUACUGCAGGGGAGACUGGAAUUCCUGGUGUAGCGGUGAAAUGCGCAGAUAUCAGGAGGAACACCGGUGGCGAAGGCGGGUCUCUGGGCAGUAACUUACGCUGAGGAGCGAAAGCGUGGGGAGCGAACAGG